UACGUAGGUGGCAAGCGUUGUCCGGAUUUACUGGGCGUAAAGAGCGCGCAGGCGGUCGUUCAAGUCGCGUGUGAAAGCCCCCGGCUCAACUGGGGAGGGUCACGCGAUACUGAUCGACUCGAAGGCAGGAGAGGGUAGUGGAAUUCCCGGUGUAGUGGUGAAAUGCGUAGAUAUCGGGAGGAAGACCAGUGGCGAAGGCGGCUCACUGGACCGGUACUGACGCUGAGGCGCGAAAGCGUGGGUAGCAAACAGG
rnacentral:rRNA from 1 species